AUUGAACGCUGGCGGCAGGCCUAACACAUGCAAGUCGAACGAGUGGCGGACGGGUGAGUAAUGUCUGGGAAACUGCCUGAUGGAGGGGGAUAACUACUGGAAACGGUAGCUAAUAGCGCAUACCCCCAUAUGGGCCCAGAUGUGAUUAGCUAGUUGGGGGGGUAACGGCUCACCAAGGCGUCGAUCCCUAGCUGGUCUGAGAGGAUGACCAGCCACACUGGGACUGAGACACGGUCCAGACUCCUACGGGAGGCAGCAGUGGGGAAUAUUGCACAAUGGGCGCAAGCCUGAUGCAGCCAUGCCGCGUGUAUGAAGAAGGCCUUCGGGUUGUAAAGUACUUUCAGCGGGGAGGCGUUACCCGCAGAAGAAGCACCGGCUAACUCCGUGCCAGCAGCCGCGGUAAUAC
rnacentral:rRNA from 1 species